rnacentral:lncRNA from 1 species
UUUUGUUUUCAUCAGGCAUCAUCAAAACAUUCAUUAAAAAAAAAAACCCGUUAGGACAGUGAAAUGUCCCGUCAUGACAAAGUGAGAUUAGAUCAACAUCUUGUCAUCCAUGUGCAGAACUCGACAUUGCAAAACACAUUGAGAAAUACAGAAUGACUGGAUAAGAUGAUUCCAUCUCCAUCCUUAUAAAGAGACGGGUAACUCACGACUGCUCAGCAGAGACGUCCUCAUCACCUCUAGAUCUCACAGUGCUCACUUUGCUGUCUGUGACACCAGUUUUUUCUUUGGUUCUGACAAACAAGCUGUGGAAAGGUGAGAAGUCAAUUUAAUCCUGAUGUUACUUUAAUGCAUAGUCUUUUAGACGAGAUGUGAUGAGCUUUGACACUGGUGAAUGAAGGCAGUGAACAAUUCUGGAUGUGGCCACUGUGAUUUGUUCCUCAGGAUGAAGUGUGUUAUGAUCUUUCUGGUGUUGACGCUGGUCGUCAUCAUGGCUGAACCCGGGGAGAGUCAAUAUCCACCUUCGUGUGUCCCGUGCCGACCUCGAGGGAAAUUACUCAGACGGGAAAGAAUCCAAGAUGAAGUGGCCAAAGAUAAACUGAUGAGAUACUAUGAAGACUGAGUCUGUUCUUGAUUUUGAAGAUACAGUUUGAGCUAUAUCUUUGUGCUUUGCAAAGCAAGAAAUAAUUGUAUGAAUAAACAUGAAGCUCUUGAGAUGUAGAGAUUUUAGUCACAGCUCACAUUGAUGUUGAAAAAAGUAAAAUUGCUUGAUAGUGAAAACUAUCCUGCUGAAUAAAGCUGCAUUCCAAAACACCGUCUCUGUGUUGUGGUGUUAUUUAAGUGAACAUGUGCUUGUAAUUUUAUUGGUGAUGAUGAUCAAAAACAUUGUUUUUCAUUUAGUCAGACAUAAAUGUUUGUAUUUAGUAGAUCUAAAUAAUGAGUGUUGGUGUGAUCAGUUUAUUAAAUGAACACUCUUCCUCUUUCUUUCUCUUUCUGAAUGUACUUGUGUCUCUGAUAAAGCAGCACUUUGGAA